ACGUAACCUAGUUUACGACUUCAACUAUAAUAACAUUUAGCAGAGCAAACAGCGAACAGAAGUUUGUGGCUUACGACCGAUCACAAAGUAGUGUUAAGCUACCCGUGGAAAAACUGUUUUGAUAAUUUUGCUACAAGAUGUUGGCUCGUUCCAGUCUUCUCAUGGCCUGUGUCAUCCUCAUCCUGUUACUGGGCUUGGAGGCCGAGCAUUUGCGUGGGUUUCCUGACAUAGAUGAGGACAGCGACGUAAACAAAGGCCAGGGAGACUUCUUUCCCGAAAAGCGUAACAAAGAAUCUGUGGAGAAAAGACUCCACCGACGAUUUCAGUACGAAAGGCGAUUUAGAUCACGAAAGGGAUGCAAAGACAGGUUUAUACCACUUUGCGGAUGAAAUCGAGACUGAUUCAAUAUAACAUUUGACGGAUAUUUGUAGGAAUCAAAAAACUGACCUGUCCAUAACCUCAAAAGUGAUGUAAUUAAAACAAUAGAGAAAAAAUUGCCCAAAGCAAUGGUAACUUGUAAGAUAUUGGGAGAUUAAUCAGACCGGGGAGAGAAAAGAAGCCUUUACCAGGUUUUCUUCUAAAGAACGAAAAUUUCGUUCCAAUUGGCGCAUGAUAAUACUUUAAUAAAACAUUAGUCAGGUAUGUA